AAGAAGCUGUUGACGAGAUCCAUCAAGGCUGGGCUGCGAUUCCCUGUCAGCUGCAUUGGCCGGCUCGAGGAGGGCCUCUAUGCCCAGCGCAUCGGCUGAGGAGCUCCCGUCUAUCUCGCCGCUGUCCUCGAGUAUCUCUCCACGGAGGUGCUCGAGCUCUCCGGGGAAAACGCAAAGGACAACAAGAAGAGCCGCAUCAUCCACUCGGCUCUGAUGGCCGCCAUGAGCGACGAGGAGCUCGGAAAGCUGAUGGCUGGCGUCACCAUCGCGCAUGGUGGGGUGGUGCCCUACAUCCACUCCGCGCUGCUCCCCAAGAAGGCUGUGGGGGAGACCGCCAAGCUGCUAUGUUGA
rnacentral:rRNA from 1 species